rnacentral:rRNA from 1 species
UACGGAGGAUGCAAGCGUUAUCCGGAAUUAUUGGGCGUAAAGCGUCCGCAGGUGGCUAUGUAAGUCUGCUGUUAAAGAGUGAGGCUCAACCUCAUAAGAGCAGUGGAAACUACAUAGCUAGAGUGCGUUCGGGGCAGAGGGAAUUCCUGGUGUAGCGGUGAAAUGCGUAGAUAUCAGGAAGAACACCGGUGGCGAAAGCGCUCUGCUAGGCCGCAACUGACACUGAGGGACGAAAGCGUAGGUAGCGAAUGGG